AGGCCGGCCGCACCGGUGAGGGCCGCACGGAGCGGCGGCGGCGCCGACACGGCGGGACCAGCCACCUCUCGCCUCCCCGGCACCGGGAGGCGGCCGCGCAGUGUCACGCAGAUGGUGCAUUAGAAGCAGAGAGCAGGCCCGCUCCCCGGGGAUGGCAGGACUUGCAUUGGUUACGGUGUGGUAACCAGUAGACCAGAGCCUUUUCUGUGUAAAGUGGUGAACAUUCAAAGACCUACCACAUGAAGUCCCAGUCCUGCAGACAUGCGGGGAGAGCUUCCCAUGCGUCCAGAGGCCCACUACAGCCAACAGAAACAUCAAAGAUCACUUUUGAAGCAUGUCAAUUACUUGAGUCUCCAUUGAUUACCCAGUUCCUGUGGAUACUGCUGUCUGUCAUCGCUGCUGAACACUGAUUACUAUUCAAGAGCCUGUCAUACCAUAGAAUAUUUUUGUAAAACCAAACUGGUUUGCUUCAGACACACAAGACCUAGGAAUUCAAAUGGCCAGCCCCAGUCUCCAAGAACUAA